rnacentral:rRNA from 1 species
UGGGGAAUUUUGGACAAUGGGCGCAAGCCUGAUCCAGCCAUGCCGCGUGCAGGAUGAAGGCCUUCGGGUUGUAAACUGCUUUUGUACGGAACGAAAAGGUGCCUUCUAAUAAAGGGAGCUCAUGACGGUACCGUAAGAAUAAGCACCGGCUAACUACGUGCCAGCAGCCGCGGUAAUACGUAGGGUGCGAGCGUUAAUCGGAAUUACUGGGCGUAAAGCGUGCGCAGGCGGUUUUGUAAGACAGAGGUGAAAUCCCCGGGCUCAACCUGGGAGCUGCCUUUGUGACUGCAAGGCUGGAGUGCGGCAGAGGGGGAUGGAAUUCCGCGUGUAGCAGUGAAAUGCGUAGAUAUGCGGAGGAACACCGAUGGCGAAGGCAAUCCCCUGGGCCUGCACUGACGCUCAUGCACGAAAGCGUGGGGAGCAAACA